ensembl:lncRNA
GGUGACUUCUUGGAUAUUUGACAGUGUCCUGCUAUCCAGCAUCUCUCCUCCUCUAUCCCAUUGGCUCUUUGUCUAUCCUAUACCUUGUAUCCACUCUGUCUACAAUUUGAUAACUCUAGCUUUCCUGUCAAAUCUACCGCUCUGUCUGCUUUUGGAAACUCUAUCUUUGUAUCCCUCUUCUAUCCCACUCUAUCUGUAUACAGAAGCCUGAAAACCCUGAUAUUCUGAAACCUGAACCCUGAAACCUGAACCUAAGGUUAUUGCAACCUGUCUGAACAGAACUCUGAGAGUAUCUCCACUCUCCCGCUCUCUGUCUCUCCUCUGAACACUCACUCACCCGGGUUAUUGGUACCUGAUCUACCUUUUUGAAUGAUCUGAGAGAUUCUCUUCUCUCACUCUCACCUCUCUCCUAUCAACUCCUAUAUUUAUACAAUACUAUUACUGUUUUUACUAAUUUGACAAAACAUUUGAAAUUACUAUUAAUGAGAUUAACAAAAUUGGCCUGAACAAAGAAUUGAAAAGUUAAUUCAGAAGCUGAAAAAAACGUAAAGUACAAAUCUUUUUGUUAUAAUUGAAAAAACUACACCUUGAUCCAAAGAAUUGGAUUGUAAAAAAAAGUACUCUUUAUAAUUGAAUCAGGUAGAUUUCCUAUUUGCAAAAGUGCAUUGAAUUAACAUAAUUAAAGACAACUGCACUCUGAUAUAUAAUAAAAUACAUAACUAUUACAAAUCCAUAUUAGAGAAGUGUAUUUGCUCCUGAUCGCUGUUGCUGUGCACCU